UACGUAGGGUGCAAGCGUUGUCCGGAAUUAUUGGGCGUAAAGAGCUCGUAGGCGGUUUGUCGCGUCGAAUGUGAAAACCCGGGGCUCAACCCCGGGCCUGCAUUCGAUACGGGCAGACUAGAGUUCGGCAGGGGAGACUGGAAUUCCUGGUGUAGCGGUGAAAUGCGCAGAUAUCAGGAGGAACACCGGUGGCGAAGGCGGGUCGCUGGGCCGGUCCUGACGCUGAGACGCGAAGGCGUGGGGAGCGAACGGG
rnacentral:rRNA from 1 species